rnacentral:rRNA from 1 species
UAGGGAAUCUUCGGCAAUGGACGGAAGUCUGACCGAGCAACGCCGCGUGAGUGAAGAAGGUUUUCGGAUCGUAAAGCUCUGUUGUAAGAGAAGAACGAGUGUGAGAGUGGAAAGUUCACACUGUGACGGUAUCUUACCAGAAAGGGACGGCUAACUACGUGCCAGCAGCCGCGGUAAUACGUAGGUCCCGAGCGUUGUCCGGAUUUAUUGGGCGUAAAGCGAGCGCAGGCGGUUAGAUAAGUCUGAAGUUAAAGGCUGUGGCUUAACCAUAGUAGGCUUUGGAAACUGUUUAACUUGAGUGCAAGAGGGGAGAGUGGAAUUCCAUGUGUAGCGGUGAAAUGCGUAGAUAUAUGGAGGAACACCGGUGGCGAAAGCGGCUCUCUGGCUUGUAACUGACGCUGAGGCUCGAAAGCGUGGGGAGCAAACAGGAUUAGAUACCCUGGUAGUCCACGCUGUAAACGAUGAGUGCUAAGUGUUGGGGGCUUUCCGGCCCUCGGUGCUGGAGCUAACGUAUUAAGCACUCCGCCUGGGGAUUACGACCGCAAGGUUG